AUCGAAAUAGGAAAAGUUUCAACGUAUCAUCAUUUUUCCCAUAUGUUCUACACGUGCUGUCCCUUACCGCACAUACUCUACCUUAUUUCAUAUAUACAUUUUCUACACAAAAUCCGGAUUUUCAUUGCCCUUCCGACCAAUUCGUAAACGAUGCGGAUCGUGGUAUCCACAAAGAAUGCGUCUAUCUCCUUCUUACAAUCCAACACGGUCUGUGGUCUUAAACACUCAAAAGAAGGGAGCCUCAAAUGAAUGAAAAUUUAACUAACUGGGAGCAAAAUUAACUACACACAUAUAUAUACCUAAAAAAUAAAGUAGUUUUGUAAAUGAAAA